GUGCUCGCUUCAGCAGCACAUAUACUAAAAUUGGAACAACACAGAGAAGAUUAGCAUGGCCCCUGCUUAAGGAUGAUAUGCAAAUUCGUGAAGUGUUCCAAAUUUUU
ensembl:snRNA U6 U6 spliceosomal RNA